GAUGAACGCUAGCGGCAGGCUUAACACAUGCAAGUCGAGGGGUAGAAGUUGCUUGCAACUUUGAGACCGGCGCACGGGUGCGUAACGCGUAUGCAAUCUACCUUAUACAGAGGGAUAGCCCAGAGAAAUUUGGAUUAAUACCUCAUAGUAUAAUUGAAUGGCAUCAUUUAAUUAUUAAAGUUCCAACGGUAUAAGAUGAGCAUGCGUCCUAUUAGCUAGAUGGUAAGGUAACGGCUUACCAUGGCAACGAUAGGUAGGGGUCCUGAGAGGGAGAUCCCCCAAACUGGUACUGAGACACGGACCAGACUCCUACGGGAGGCAGCAGUGAGGAAUAUUGGACAAUGGGCGCAAGCCUGAUCCAGCCAUGCCGCGUGCAGGAAGAAGCAUCUAUGGUGUGUAAACUGCUUUUGUACGGGAAGAAACACCCCUUCGUGAAGGGACUUGACGGUACCGUAAGAAUAAGGAUCGGCUAACUCCGUGCCAGCAGCCGCGGUAA
rnacentral:rRNA from 1 species